UACGGAGGGGGCUAGCGUUGUUCGGAAUUACUGGGCGUAAAGCGCACGUAGGCGGGCUGGAAAGUCAGGGGUGAAAUCCCGGGGCUCAACCCCGGAACUGCCUUUGAAACUUCCAGUCUUGAGGUCGAGAGAGGUGAGUGGAAUUCCGAGUGUAGAGGUGAAAUUCGUAGAUAUUCGGAGGAACACCAGUGGCGAAGGCGGCUCACUGGCUCGAUACUGACGCUGAGGUGCGAAAGCGUGGGGAGCAAACAGG
rnacentral:rRNA from 1 species